UUAAAAAAUUCAAAUAAAGUUGCUUCAAAGUUGCGAGUUAUCAUUACUAUUGUUCUUUGUGUAUAUUAUUUCUUAGAAAGUAGAAUCAAAAACCAAAUACAAAAGAAGAAGAAGAAACCCUCUGAUUUACACUUCAACUCCUUUAUCUCUAUCUUUCUAUUAUUAAUAAUUAUCUCCCUCAUCAAAGCCUCCGCCAGUAUAACCUCCAUUCACUUACAACUCCAGUAUCGGCCAGGGAAACAUUGGCCGAUAUCAACCCACUAUUUAUCAACAAAAACAAAACAAAAUGAUCGAAGUAAGUACAUAUUUAGAAUAACGCUGAGUUUUGCUCAAUCACAAUGCACCACUGUGAAUUUGGCCAAAAAUUGCACUUUGAAACUUCAACAAAAUACGGCGUGUUCCCGUAAUAUUGUCAAAUUCACCGUAAUUUCAAAGAUGCACUAA